AUCUCUCUUUAGAAGCGUCCAGUCAGAUGUCUUGUCAUGUCUUGUUCUGAGCUGUACGGACAACCGUGCUGCGCAAUGAUCCAUUAUAGCAGAGUAGGACUUGUAAGGAUGUGAGGUUAGGGAGAGGAUUCUGACUGUAGGAUUCUCGGGCAUCCAUCUUUGCAGUUUUUGGAAUAAAUCAUUCUGUUUGCAUCUUCUUCCUCCAGGGUUCUCUGAGCCUCAUCAGCUCGCCAUCAGCUUCAACUCUUCUUCUUUUGCAUUCUCUCAGUCCUUGCAGCCAUUUUCCUUGCUAAGAGAUUUCCGUUCCUGUUGUGUCCCCAGUGUUUGUCACGUCUUGUCUGUCCUGUGUCACGGGUGUCUGCACACAUUUGUGCUGGAGCUGCUGUUCUGCCCUGCUGCAUAUCCUGGUGCAAUAUGAGAAGUCUCAGGGACUUGGAAUUUGUAAUGUGUAGUUGGAUUCUAGAUGGGAUUUGUAGAUGGACACAGGAUACGUGGAGCCCAUAAGUUAUCCUGCAGCCCUUUCACUUUCAUCCUAACUUUCUUUUAGUUGCAGAAGGAUAAAUCCAGGGCAGAGCCCCCCAUUCUGGGUGAGGGGAUUCCCCUGUGAAGGUCAGUCACUGUUUGUCUCUGCAGAGGAAGCAUAAAUUGUGGCUGCUGCAGCUCUGCUCUUUGUCUUUAUUUUUAGGAAGUCAAGGCAGAGAGCAGCUGUCAAGGCUGAGUGGGCAAGAUGGACUGCUUGCCAUCUAUCCUAGCCCAGCAUGCCCAUGCCAGGUGCUGUCGCUGCCCUAGGCAUGCCGGGGAAGAGAGGAGGGCAGGUAUCUUCCGGGCGGCCUCUGGAGUCAAAUCAAGACUUGAGGUACCCUGGGCAGGCUUGUAGCCACAGCUUGGAAGCGGCAGCACCGAAGCGCACACAUUGAGAACGUCUCAACGUCCACGUCCGACCGAGGAUGGAUUUUGUCUGCUUGUCUUCCAAAAGCUAAGUGUCGGGGCCAGUGGUUGGGAGAAGGGGAAAAGCCUUUACUAUCACAGGAGGCAAUCUGAUGUCAGCUUAGCAGAGAGGUCUGUAGUGGGACAGGCUCCCUGGAAGUAAAGGGAGAGGGUUUCUCCUCAGCCUCACCAGAGCCUUUGCCGGGCAGGGCAAUUCCUACCCAUCUCCACAUUCUCGUGAACUUUGUGUCAUCAGCCUUCUUCGACUUGACGUCGUCACGGCUCUUUCCCCCGUGGAGCUCGCCUUCAGGUCCGGAGCUGUAGCUGCAGUCACCUGGCAGUCCGCUUCCUUCUCUAGGCUUGCUGAGCCUCUCGAGCAUCCUCCUAACUGCUUUGGCCCUAACUUCCUUUAAUGAGUUGCAUUUCAUCAUCACGUGCUGUUGUCAUAGGGCUUCCUUUCCCUUGGCCUCAUUGGCCUCUGGCUCGUCUUGUGCUAGGACUCUCGGGUCCCUAAAGGGAAAGUGCCAAGCAGUUGCAACUUGUCUCUGUGUUAUGUCAUCUGUGUCUAUGUUAUGGUGUGUGUGUCCAUUGUCUUCCACGGCAUAGACCUUUGUUACAUCUCAAUGCUUUAUCGGCUCUCUUCUGUGCCAUGUUCUACUCACAUUCCUUGCCGGAUAUCCCUUAUUCCAGCAUCUUUACAUUUUUACUCUUUGAGACAGGAAUGUCUCACAGGGACAAGAUGUUCUCAUCCAUCUUCCUUCUCACUAUCAGCUUUGGUAGUGCUUUUUUUUCUUGGACUUCUAGAGGGAGCAUCUUACACCCUCCUCACGUGACUGCAGUAGUUCUAUAGGUUCCAUCUUCUCAAAGGGUACAGGGCUCAAUAAGUAAUCUUCCAGAGAGUUUUCUUAAGUCGUGGUUUAUAUUGUAUGUUCCUAUGUUGGCUUAUAUUGUAUGUACUUACAUACAGUAUAAGUACGUACAGUAUAAGCCAGCAUAGGUACAUGCAAUGUAAGUGCAUUGCCUUAUAUUGUCUGUACUUACACUGCAUGUAAGCAUGUCGCCUUAUAUUGUGUGUACUUACACUCUGUGUACACUUGCACUGUAUGCGUCAGCUUACAUUGUGUGUAGACUGUACCACUUAUGAUCGGAGCUGCCCUGCCCUGGCACAUAGUCACAGUUAGGUAGAACAGUUAUAACAACUUUACUGUUCAUCUGUCUUUUGUGGGAUUUUGGGUAGAAAAUUCAUCAGUCCAGAGUGGGGACAAGUCCUAGCUGUCAGAUAGCCACUUGUUGACCCUUCCUGUUGUCUCACAGGUCCCCGAGGCUGCUGAUUUCCCCAGGAUCUGCCAUUUAGCUCAAGGAGCGGCAGCCAGAAGAUGUGUCAAAGCACCUUCUUCAGCAUCUCAGGGAAGGGCCACAGUGAGCGUCUAAGAAGGAGUGUGUGUGAGAGCACGUGGCUGUGUCUGUCUGCUCGUCUCUGCGUGUGUGAGCGCAUGCUGACUGGAUUUAACCUUGUGUAUAUGACUUUUGCUUUUCAGGUUUUGCAACUCAUUGUUAAAUUGAGAAUAAAAAAUCCCCAGCUGCCUUCCACCCUGGCUGUUUUUUUUUUUUGGUCCCGGCCAAGUAAAAACCCAGAAAAAUACUCCAAGAUAGGCUAGAAAAGGCCCAAAAAACCCAGUAAAAAAACCCAAGAUGGGCAAGAAAAACCCAGAAAAAAGCAGAAAAAACCCCAAAAUGGGCAACAAAGAAACCCCACAAAAAUCCAGGAAAAAAACUGCAAGAUGGGGAAGAAAAAAAUCAAGAAAAAACCCAGAACAAUCCCAGGGAAAAAAUCUCAAGAGGGGCAAGAGCAAACCCGGGAAAAAAAGCUAAAAAA